UGUUUGCGCUUUGGGGUGGGGUAGGGUGGGAUAGGGGGGUUAAAGUUCCGGUGAGUGAGCAAGCAGCCAGGUCAGACAGCAGUCGGGCCUCGACGCGCUUCAUUCACCGCUGAAUGCAAUAACCUUGGAACGGUCAUCCUGACGUGUACAAGGGGUUCAAGAGGCAGGAGAGUGGAUAUGAAAGGAUAUCAGGCCUUAAGGCUUGGCUUUUCUGAGCGAGUGCCACAAAUCUCCUCCGAAUGCAGACACUUCAAAGGGCGGCAACAACAGCCUCGGGAAUUUACAGCCUCUGCAUUCUUUUACGUUCCACUGCCAUCGGGCUUAGUAGCCCUCCCAGCUUUUCCUGCUAUCUACGGAUAUGGCAUGCUUACACUGUGCGAAACAGAACGCUAGAUGGCACCAAAUAGCGAGGAAAAAGGUCGAAGCCUACGAAGCCUGCGUCAAUGGAAUUGAAGAUCUCAGCAACAACGGGCAGAAAAUGGCCAAAGAGUCCAACAUCUUGCAACAUGUUUGACAUGUACUGUAGAUCUUAAGUAACAAUGGUUCAUCUAAGAAAAUGUGUGCAUUCGCCAUUUUGUGUGUCUGUGUCUGCUGUGACCAAAAUUGGUUUGAUUCAUUCCGUGCACAUACAGAUAGAUGCACUGAUUGAUUUUUGAUUAGUCGCAAAGAGGCAGAAAUGUUAAGGAAAUUAGAAGAGAGCUGCCUAUAGCUCAUGGACUGCGUUAAAAAUAUCCAGUCCCUCAUUUUUUAUGUUAAACACACAAUAAAAUAAACUGAACAAACGGCAAACUAAGAAUGCAGACCACUUGUAAGCGUCCUGGAUGGAACAGCGGCGGACUGGGUGAAGGAAACAGGACAGAAAGUUCUAGACGAAUCAGUGCAUUUCUAAAUUAAAAUCAAAUAACCUGGAAGAUAUGAAUAUUUGAUCUGGAAAUGUUUGGAUACAGCAUAACGGAAGUGACCUUGGGUAUAUUAUAUGAACGACUGUAAAAAUAAAUAAAUA
ensembl:lncRNA